UCGGGACCAUCGGGUUGACAGGGUGUGGAGUCCCGGUGGAAGGGAGUAUCGCGGAAAGGGGACUGCACGACUUUUCCCUGAAGCCCACCUGACAAUCGCUGUAUCAGGCAGCGAGCGUUGCCUGCCACCUUCACACCCUCCCGGUGUGCGCUUGAAGUCGCUUUGAGAUUGAAUGGGGUGGCUCGGGCAAUGACGUGCGUGGUAGGACAUGGGGAAUCCUGAGCCGAGCUGGAGAUGGCCAAAGCCCGGAACCAACUGGAUGCUGUCUUGCAGUGUCUGCUGGAGAAGAGU
rnacentral:lncRNA from 1 species